CUGCUAUCGCUGUGCUCGUGGCUCCACCGCCUUGGAGUCUUUCCACCUCCAUUUAAAUCGCUUCAUCCCAGGGACCAGUGCCAGUGAUGCGCAUUUCCAGGCCUAUCUCCUGGAAGGCCUGAUGCGCUGGAACCAGGACCGGAUGGAUGAAGCAGUGAGGGGAAAGACUGACCUGAGGAUCUACAGUAGCAUUGAGAGGGAGGCAAUGGACCGGCUCAGCCGCAAAGUGCUGAAGGUGUCCCUGGAUGACCGCUACCAGCCUCCAGGGGCUUACACAGGGGAGCUGUUGGGUAUGGAGUAUCUAUUAGAGUUGAGCCGGAUACUCGGCUGAAACGAGUAUCCGGUACGGAUAAAGCACUUUUGUCGAGUACAAAUAUUAUACGAGUAAUACGAGUCAAUAUCUGUGCUCGGAUAAAAAAAA